UGCCAGCAGCCGCGGUAAUACGGAGGGGGUUAGCGUUGUUCGGAAUUACUGGGCGUAAAGCGCGCGUAGGCGGCUUUUUAAGUCGGAUGUGAAAGCCCCGGGCUCAACCUGGGAACUGCAUUUAGAACUGGUGAACUAGAGUAUGGUAGAGGAGUGUGGAAUUUCAGGUGUAGCGGUGAAAUGCGUAGAGAUCUGAAGGAACAUCAGUGGCGAAGGCGACACUCUGGACCAAUACUGACGCUGAGGUGCGAAAGCGUGGGUAGCAAACAGGAUUAGAUA
rnacentral:rRNA from 1 species